GCCAGAUGUGUUGGCGCACACCUGUAGUUCAAGUCCCAGCUACUCGGAAGGCUGAGACAGGAGGAUCGCUUGAGUCCAGGAGUUCUGGGCUGUGGUGCGCUAUGCUGAUUAGGUUUCUGCACUAAGUUUGGCAUCAAUAUGGUGAACUCACAGGAGCGGGGCUGCACCAGGUUGCCUAAGGAGGAGUAAACCAGUGCAGGUUGGAAAUGGAGCAGUCAAAACUCCCAUGCUAAGAGAUGCUUAAAAAGUAGUAAAAGAAAAGGAAGUAAUUUUAGGACUGAAAAUUCAGUCAAGUUCUUCAUUUCUU
rnacentral:SRP_RNA from 1 species